rnacentral:rRNA from 1 species
UACGUAGGGGGCAAGCGUUGUCCGGAAUCAUUGGGCGUAAAGAGCGUGUAGGCGGUCCGGUCAGUCGGUUGUGAAAGUCAAGGGCUCAACCCUUGAAUGCCGGCCGAUACUGCCGGGCUAGAGUCCGGAAGAGGUGAGUGGAAUUCCUGGUGUAGCGGUGAAAUGCGCAGAUAUCAGGAGGAACACCGAUGGCGAAGGCAGCUCACUGGGACGGUACUGACGCUGAGACGCGAAAGCGUGGGGGAGCAAACAGG